GCGGAGGGAAGCUCAUCAGUGGGGCUACGAGCUGAGUGCGCUUAGUCACUCUAUCCGAUGUCCCUUGGGAAGGUCUGAGACUAGGGCCACGGGCGGCCCUAACAGGGCCCUCCCUGAGAUUCGGGGAGGUGAGUUCCCAGAGAGCGGGGCUCCGCGCGAGGGCAGACUGGGCAGGAGAUGCUAUGGACCCCGCCCUUGCGGAGGGGCCUGGCGGAUGCCUCCUUAGCCGGAGCUUGGAACAGACUCACGGCCAGCGAAGUGAGUUCAAUGGCUGAGGUGAGGUACCCCACCCCGCGUGGGGGUCUCAUAACCCAAUUCAGACUACUCUCCCGCCCGU
rnacentral:RNase_P_RNA from 1 species